UACGUAGGGGGCAAGCGUUCUCCGGAAUUAUUGGGCGUAAAGGGCACGCAGGCGGUUUCCUAAGUCUGAUGUGAAAGCCCACGGCUCAACCGUGGAGGGUCAUUGGAAACUGGGGAACUUGAGUGCAGGAGAGGAGAGCGGAAUUCCACGUGUAGCGGUGAAAUGCGUAGAGAUGUGGAGGAACACCAGUGGCGAAGGCGGCUCUCUGGCCUGAUACUGACGCUGAGGUGCGAAAGCGUGGGGAGCGAACAGG
rnacentral:rRNA from 1 species